rnacentral:lncRNA from 1 species
AGUCCUCUCCACCCCAAGGUAGGCAGCUUCCCGCUCCUCGUCUUGGGACCUAAACCCAGGAAGUCAAAUGUCCUUUUCUAGCAGGUCGCCUGGUUAGAGGCCGUGGACGAAGCGGUCCAGGCACAGCCAGCUGCAGGGCGCGGCCUCGGCGGCGCUGCUCGUGGCCCUGGUCAGUGAGCGCACUCACUCCUGGACUAAGCUCUAUGCAACUCAUUUUCAUCUAGCAUUACCUCUCCAAAACCUGAAUCUCCACAAGAAAGCCACACAGCAAUUAACCAGUGUUGCAAGAACUGCUUCUGUAAUAAAGGUGGGAAGACAAAUUGAUGCAACCCUCUUGAAAAGCAAUCUGGCAAUAUGAACCAAGAGCCAUGAAAAGGCUUAUGCUAUUAUAAUUAAAUGGCUGUAAUGUUGGCUGUAAAUAUGAAAUUUUCUUUCACACACCAAUGUUUUCAAGAAUGGCAUAUUCACAUGCAGUAUGUGUUUCCCCUUGGAAAUAAAAUGUAAAGGAAAACUAUGGAAAAAUAUACUUACUCUAGACAUUCUCUGCAUUGAUUUAUGACAGAUGAAAGAAGCAGUAAAGGAUGCUAACAAAGCUAUUUCUUUGGACAAUCUGAACCUGACGGAGUCUUACUCUGUCGCCCAGGCAGGAGUGCAAUGGCACAAUCUUGGCUCACCACAACCUCCGCCUCCUGGGUUCAAGUGACUCUCCUGCCUGGCCAUAGAAGCAAACACAAACAUAGAGGAAUUGGCUUUGGGCAGAUGGAAGGACCUCAGAGAAAAGAAACAAAGGAAAGAAAACUGGAUGGAUAAAGGUACAAAGAAAUUUGGAGUAGAGCUGAAUUGCAUCCCCCUCAAAUUCAUAUGUUAAAAUUCUGAUCCUCAAUACCUCAGAAUGUGACUGUUUCUGAAGACAGGGCCUUUAAAGAUGUAAUUAAGGUAAAAAAGUCAUAUCGGUGGGCCCUAAUACAACAUUAAGGAUGUCCCUAUAAGAAGAGGAGAUUAGAACACAGGCAUGCACAGAGAGAUGACAUGUGGAGACACAAGGAAAAAUGACCAUCUCGUCAAGGUGAAAAGCCUUUUGAAGAAACCAACCCUGCCAAAGGUUAAAAUUCCCUGUGGAAUUUUAAGCUUCACAGAUAUGAGGAAGUAAAUUUCUGUUGCUUAAA